AUUGAACGCUGGCGGCAGGCCUAACACAUGCAAGUCGAACGAGUGGCGGACGGGUGAGUAAUGUCUGGGAAACUGCCUGCUGGAGGUGGAUAACUACUGGAAACGGUAGCCAAUACCGCAUACCAUCAUAUGUGCCCAGAUGGGUUUAGCUAGUUGGUGGGGUAACGGCUCACCAAGGCGACGAUCCCUAGCUGGUCUGAGAGGAUGACCAGACACACGGGAACUGAGACACGGGCCAGACUCCUACGGGAGGAAGCAGAGGGGAAUAGUGGACAAGGGGCGCAAGCCUGAUGCAGCCAUGCGGCGGAGAUGAAGAAGGCCUUCGGGUUGUAAAGUACGUUCAGCGGGGAGGCGUUACCCGCAGAAGAAGCACCGGCUAACUCCGUGCCAGCAGCCGCGGUAAUUC
rnacentral:rRNA from 1 species